GUCAACAGGUGCGGAAGAUGAAAACUCAUCUGCGAUGGAGGUUGACAGUGAGAAUGGGAACCCAAAGAAAAGGUCUGAGAUUGGUGAGAGACAACAGUGGUGCUUAUCAACACUUGGCUAUCUCACGGCGUUUACAAGACAAUAUGCAAAGGAGAUAUGGCCUCACAUGGAGAAGUUGGAGUCGGAGGUGUUCUCUGGAGAUGAUGUUCAUCCUCUCUUUCUUCAAACCAUAUUCUCUGCACUCCAGUUCCCUUUGCAAUAAGUUCUUAUCGUUUCAUCCAAAAACAAAGAAGAGAGUUAGCUCAUCUUUUCUGUAUCUUUUAGCCUUUUCCUGCUGAUCAAAAAAGACACCACACAUUCGCUUCUUCCCUAAUCUUUGCAAUGCAAUCUCUUCCAUCA